rnacentral:tRNA from 1 species
UCCCUGGUGGCUCAGAGGGUAAAGCAUCUGCCUGGAAGGCAGAAAACCUCAGUUUAAUCCCUGGGUCGGGAA